rnacentral:rRNA from 1 species
AGAGUUUGAUCCUGGCUCAGGAUGAACGCUGGCGGUAUGCUUAACACAUGCAAGUCGAACGGUGUUUUAGGACACAGUGGCGGACGGGUGAGUAACGCGUGGGAAUCUGGCUCUAGGUCGGGGACAACCACUGGAAACGGUGGCUAAUACCGGAUGUGCCGAGAGGUGAAAGAUUUAUUGCCUAGAGAUGAGCUCGCGUCUGAUUAGCUAGUAGGUGGGGUAAGAGCCUACCUAGGCGACGAUCAGUAGCUGGUCUGAGAGGAUGAUCAGCCACACUGGGACUGAGACACGGCCCAGACUCCUACGGGAGGCAGCAGUGGGGAAUUUUCCGCAAUGGGCGAAAGCCUGACGGAGCAAUACCGCGUGAGGGAGGAAGGCUCUUGGGUUGUAAACCUCUUUUCUCAGGGAAGAACACAAUGACGGUACCUGAGGAAUCAGCAUCGGCUAACUCCGUGCCAGCAGCCGCGGUAAUACGGAGGAUGCAAGCGUUAUCCGGAAUGAUUGGGCGUAAAGCGUCCGCAGGUGGCGAUGUAAGUCUGCUGUUAAAGAGUGAGGCUCAACCUCAUAAGAGCAGUGGAAACUACAUAGCUAGAGUGCGUUCGGGGCAGAGGGAAUUCCUGGUGUAGCGGUGAAAUGCGUAGAUAUCAGGAAGAACACCGGUGGCGAAAGCGCUCUGCUAGGCCGCAACUGACACUGAGGGACGAAAGCUAGGGGAGCGAAUGGGAUUAGAUACCCCAGUAGUCCUAGCCGUAAACGAUGGAUACUAGGCGUGGCUUGUAUCGACCCGAGCCGUGCCGUAGCUAACGCGUUAAGUAUCCCGCCU